CUGACAGCAUUGGACAUUGAAGUCCUUUAUUUAUGUCUGGAACAGAUAUACCAGAGGCAGUGGUAGUGCCAGCUUCCCCACACUAACCCAUCAAUGUGCCUUAACUCUGACCUAGAAUGACAACUUUUAGGAGUGAGAAGACAAUUUGGAGUCUGAUCCAAUUGGAGUCGUUUCACUG
ensembl:misc_RNA